rnacentral:rRNA from 1 species
CCUACGGGUGGCAGCAGUGGGGAAUUUUGGGCAAUGGGCGCAAGCCUGACCCAGCAACGCCGCGUGAAGGAAGAAGGCUUUCGGGUUGUAAACUUCUUUUAUCAGGGAAGAGUAGGAGACGGUACCUUACCAGUAGGCUACGGCUAACUACGUUCCAGGCGCCGCGGUGAUGCGAAGGUGGCUAGCGUUGUCCGGAUAUACUGGGUGUAAAGGGCGUGUAGCCGGGUUGACAAGUCAGAUGUUAAAUACUGCGGCUUAACCCCAGUACGGCAAAUGAAACUGUUGAUCUUGAGUACUGGAGAGGCAGAUGGAACUCCGAGUGUAGCGGUGAAAUGCGUAGAUAUUAGGAGGAACACCAGUGGCGAAGGCGGUCUGCUGGAUAGCAACUGACGGUGAGGCGCGAAAGCGUGGGGAGCAAACAGGAUUAGAUACCCGUGUAGUC